rnacentral:rRNA from 1 species
GAUGAACGCUGGCGGCGUGCCUAAUACAUGCAAGUCGAGCGAACAGACGAGGAGCUUGCUCCUUUGACGUUAGCGGCGGACGGGUGUGUAACACGUGGAUAACCUACCUAUAAGACUGGGAUAACUUCGGGAAACCGGAGCUAAUACCGGAUAAUAUAUUGAACCGCAUGGUUCAAUAGUGAAAGACGGUUUUGCUGGCACUUAUAGCUGGUUCCGGGCCGCAUUAGCUAGUUGGUAAGGUAACGGCUUACCAAGGCUACGAGGCGUAGCCGACCUGAGAGAGGGAUCGGCCACACGGGAACUGAGACACGGUCCAGGCGCCUACGGGAGGCAGCAGUAGGGAAUGGGCCGCAAUGGGCGAAAGCCUGACGGAGCAACGGCGAGUGAGUGACGAAGGUGUUCGGAUCGUAAAACCCUGUUAUUAGGGAAGAACAAAUGUGGAAGUAACUAUGCACGGCUUGACGGUACCUAAUCAGAAAGCCACGGCUAACUACGUG